rnacentral:lncRNA from 1 species
CCAGAUUCUCGCAGUGCUCUGUGGUGGUGCAUGUAAUAUCCUGGACAUAAUCUGUCUUUUAAUUUUCUUUGGAUUGUAGUGAUAUUACAGAUACAUGUGUUCAGUUAUAGAUCUUUAUUUAAUAAGAAGAAUGCUUUAGCUGAAGAUUUGUACUAUGUCAGAAGUGGGCAACUCACAAUAAUGUUACUGGAGGUUUAGCCCAGGAAUUCUUUUGGGAUGAUGAGAGGGGCUCAUCCAAAAUGUUACAAGCAUGCCUGGACACUGAUUCAGACCUUUUGAAGAUUUCAGAAGAAAAUGACAUGUGUCCUCAAUAGAAACUUCACUGAGGGGCUUAAAAUAUCUGAGAAACAUGGAUGGCCUUAAUAUAUAUUGUGUGGCUGGGAACAGUAUGUUAUCUAAAGUGUACAACUCCUUGCCUGUCAUCAAGG